rnacentral:rRNA from 1 species
CCUAGGGACGCUCCAGUGAGGAAUAUUGCACAAUGGGGGGAACCCUGAUGCAGCAACGCCGCGUGGAGGAUGACGCAUUUCGGUGUGUAAACUCCUUUUAUAUGUCAAGAAAAUGACGGUAGCAUAUGAAUAAGCACCGGCUAACUCCGUGCCAGCAGCCGCGGUAAUACGGAGGGUGCAAGCGUUACUCGGAAUCACUGGGCGUAAAGGACGCGUAGGCGGGUUGGAAAGUCAGGUGUGAAAUCCUACAGCUUAACUGUAGAACUGCACUUGAAACUUCUAAUCUAGAGUAUGGGAGGGGGAAAUGGAAUUAGUGGUGUAGGGGUAAAAUCCGUAGAUAUCACUAGGAAUACCUAAAGCGAAGGCGAUCUCCUGGAACAUUACUGACGCUAAGGCGUGAAAGCGUGGGGAGCAAACAGGAUUAGAUACCCCCGUAGUC